GCCCGGGCGCGGUGGCAUACGCCUGUAAUCCCAGCAGCUUGGGAGGCUGAGGCAGGAGGAUCACAAGUUCAAAGCCAGCCUCAGCAACUGCAAAGCACUAAGCAACUCAGUGAGACCCUGUCUCUA
rnacentral:sRNA from 1 species